rnacentral:rRNA from 1 species
CCCUUAGAUGUUCUGGGCCGCACGCGCGCUACACUGAUGAAUGCAACGAGCUCUACCCUUGACCGAAAGGCCCGGGUAAACUUGUGAAACUUCAUCGUGAUGGGGAUAGAUUAUUGCAAUUAUUAAUCUUCAACGAGGAAUUCCUAGUAAGCGCGAGUCGUCAGCUCGCGUUGAUUACGUCCCUGCCCUUUGUACACACCGCCCGUCGCUCCUACCGAUUGAAUGGUCCGGUGAAAUCUUCGGAUUGCUGACCAAGAUCCAGCAAUGGAGCUUGGUUGCGAGAAGUUGAUUAAACCUUAUUAUUUAGAGGAAGGAGAAGUCGUAACA